AACUCGUGAUGAGGACAAGAGAGAAGCAACUCUUUAAAUCUCUCCCAGCAUUCAUAAAAUAUUUCAUGGUCUUUUUGUUGGAAAUUACUAAUGUGCCUUUUCAAAAAGUU